CUCAGGAUCUGCACGGCAGUCACCAUUGUCUUGACUUGGGAAAGAAUGUGACCCCCGCAGGUAAGGGGAAGAGCCAGGGUCUACGCUCAUCUUCUGAAGGUGUUUUUCACCUCUCCAAGUCCCAGUCACUUCAUUUCUUAGAUGGGAGUUAAUUUAGUCAACAAAUAUUGAUUGCCAUGUUCCUAUGUGUUGGACACUGGGGUUUAGUGGUGAGCUAGAUGGACACAGUCCCUGUUCUCACAAUGCUCUCUUUUAAAUAAGAGAGGUGAACAAGAAGUGAAUAAAUGAAUCUACGCACAGUGUGAUGGCUGUCAGCCAGAGAAAGGUGCUAUAAAGAAAGAUCCUUCAGUCAGGGGCUGCUGCUGAGCUUAUGAUGAUUUUUCUCCUUCUAAAGGUCAGUGACUCGUUGGGGCUGAUGAUGUCCCUGCCCUGGGCAGACAGGCAGGCCUUGCUCAUGAGUCUCUAUAUCACUCAGCUCCAGGAGACUCGGAAUCUCACCAGGACGCGUCCAUCACUCGCUCAUAGCUGGUACUUGGAAAUGAAAGAGACUCGCUGUGCAGUCCCAAUCAAUGUCCGUCGGCCGUCUCCGUCGAUAACUGCCGGGCGGUCCAAUCUUUCCCCUGAUAGAAGGGCGCCUGGGGGUCAGCCCGAAGAUGCUCUGGAAGGAAGAGGCGGCCAUUUGAUUCAGAGCCUCCUUGCUGGGCUGGAAUUAACCUGGCUCUUUCUCUAAUGAAACUGACUCCAAGGGUCCCUGUGUGCUAGAGAUUCGAUGGCCCUUAGGAGAAGCAAUGAUGAGAGGUAAUAUUAAAGCAGUGUACACAUGCAGCCUGGAAUUCCUAACCAUGCUGAUGAUGUUUUCAAGGUGCUUUGAGCCCCGUAGGAAGCAGCACCUGUCUGGCAUGUUGCUGAACGCACAGUAGAAACAGUGAAUGCAGGGGGAAUAGACCCUGGGCUGCCUUUGCUAUCUACUGAUGAAGAGAUCAGGCAUUAGGAAGCUUAGUGACUUAACCAUGAUGU
rnacentral:lncRNA from 1 species